rnacentral:rRNA from 1 species
AGCAGCCGCGGUAAUUCCAGCUCCAAUAGCGUAUAUUAAAGUUGCUGCAGUUAAAAAGCUCGUAGUUGAAUUUCGGGACUAAUAUGUUGGUCGUGCCUCGGUACGUACUGAUAUUUUGGUUUCUCCCUUCUGACGAACCUUGAUGUCAUUAAUUUGGUGUCUUGGGAAAUCAGGACUGUUACUUUGAAAAAAUUUAGAGUGUUUAAAGCAGGCUCACGCUUGAAUACAUUAGCAUGGAAUAAUGAAAUAGGACGUUUGAUUCUAUUUUGUUGGUUUCUAGGAUUGACGUAAUGAUUAAUAGGGAUAGUUGGGGGCAUUAGUAUUCAAUUGUCAGAGGUGAAAUUCUUGGAUUUAUUGAAGACUAACUACUGCGAAAGCAUUUGCCAAGGAUGUUUUCAUUAAUCAAGAACGAAAGUUAGGGGAUCGAAGACGAUCAGAUACCGUCGUAGUCUUAACCAUAAACUAUGCCGACUAGGGAUCGGAUGAUGUUAAUUUUUUAAUGACUCAUUCGGCGCCUUAC